rnacentral:misc_RNA from 1 species
AAGUGGAAGAGCAGUACUUAUAUGUCUCUUGUAAAUCAUACACCUUAUGUUCUUUCAAUGAAACUCUGUAUCGGCCUUUCCUAGUGUUAUCAGAUGACAAAUUAGAAUGGCAUAAUGGAUAUCCACAGAGGUUUGCAAUAGACCGCUCAGUCACCACAUCUUCAUAGUCACUCCGAGACAUCAGAGACCCAGCCGCAAAUAGCUGGUUCUCAUUUUGAA